CCUACGGGAGGCAGCAGUGAGGAAUAUUGGUCAAUGGGCGCGAGCCUGAACCAGCCAAGUCGCGUGAAGGAUGACUACCCUACGGGUUGUAACCUUCUUUUAUAAAGGAAUAAAGUGAGGCACGUGUGCCUUUUUGUAUGUACUUUAUGAAUAAGGAUCGGCUAACUCCGUGCCAGCCGCCGCGGUAAUACGGAGGAUCCGAGCGUUAGCCGGAUUUAUUGGGUUUAAAGGGAGCGUAGAUGGGUUGUUAAGUCAGUUGUGAAAGUUUGCGGCUCAACCGGAAAAUUGCAAUUGAUACUGGCAGUCUUGAGUGCAGGUGAGGUAGGCGGAAUUCGUGGUGUAGCGGUGAAAUGCUUAGAUAUCACGAAGAACUCCGAUGGCGAAGGCAGCUUACUAAACUGCCACUGACAUUGAUGCUCGAAAGUGUGGGUAUCAAACAGGAUUAGAUACCCCUGUAGUC
rnacentral:rRNA from 1 species